rnacentral:lncRNA from 1 species
UGUAGUUUUAAGAUGCAAUAAACUAGCAUUUCUCUACUUGUAAGGGGAGAUAACUUGUUUUAAAUUACAUCUUUAAAGGCCUAAUAUGUGUGGACUAGUUAUACGAGUCUCAGGAAAGGACUAAUUUUCUACCUGUUAUUCUAUAUGUUGAAUAUUUGACUGUAUCAUGUUGUAGUACAUGAUUAUAUUGUUCACCAGAUAUUUUGAUGUUGAAAUUUUGACUUCAUAUAAUUACAUGAUUAUAAUGUACACCUG